rnacentral:rRNA from 1 species
GACGAACGCUGGCGGCGUGCCUAAUACAUGCAAGUCGAACGAGUGGCGGACGGGUGAGUACACGUUGGUAACCUACCCAUCAGAGGGGGAUAACUACUGGAAACGGUAGCUAAUACCGCAUACCAUCUGAUGUGCCCAGAUGGGCUUAGCUAGUGGGUGGGGUAACGGCUCACCUAGGCGACGAUCCCUAGCUGGGCUGAGAGGAUGAACAUACACAGUGGAACUGGGACGCGGUCCUGAACCCUACGGGAGGCAGCAGGGGGGAAUAUUGCAAAAUGGGAGCAAGCCUGAUGAAGCCAUGCCGCGUGUAGGAAGAAGGCCUUCGGGUUGUAAAGUACUUUCAGCGAGGAGGCGUUACUCGCAGAAGAAGCACCGGCUAACUCCGUGCCAGCAGCCGCGGUAAUAC